AUUGAACGCUGGCGGCAGGCUUAACACAUGCAAGUCGAACGAGUGGCGGACGGGUGAGUAAUGCUUGGGAAUCUGGCUUAUGGAGGGGGAUAACGACGGGAAACUGUCGCUAAUACCGCGUACCAUAGGAUGAGCCCAAGUGGGAUUAGGUAGGUGGAGGGGUAACGGCCCACCAGGGCGAUGAUCAGUAGCCGGUCUGUGAGGAUGAACGGCCACAUGGGGACUGAGACACGGCCCAGACUCCUACGGGAGGCAGCAGUGGGGAAUAUUGCACAAUGGGCGCAAGCCUGAUGCAGCCAUGCCGCGUGUAUGAAGAAGGCCUUCGGGUUGUAAAGUACUUUCAGCGGGGAGGCGUUACCCGCAGAAGAAGCACCGGCUAACUCCGUGCCAGCCGCCGCGGUAAUUC
rnacentral:rRNA from 1 species